GGAGGCUGCAACGGCAAGGACUCGUUUCUGGUGGAGUUGGAGGGAGAGAAAGAAAGACUUCUGCGGCUUCUGCUGCUUUCCUUGCAUGAAGCCAAAAGUCUCUCUU